CUGUAAUGUAUGGGCUCUAUGCAGUGCUGGUGCACUCUGGGUACAGCUGCCACACAGGGCACUACUACUGCUACGUGAAGGCCAGCAACGGGCAGUGGUACAAGAUGAACGACAGUGUGGUGAGCCACAGUAACAUCCAAGAGGUGCUGAAGCAAGAGGCCUACCUGCUCUUCUAUUUGAGACUCUCCGGCCCAGAGAAGAGCUUGGACAGACCCAUUGCCAGAGCUGUCCCCAGCCUGACUGGCUCUGAGGGCACUGUCUCCAAAGAGGCAGAGAAAAUUGUGAGCCACAGGCCCCUGUUCCCAU